AAUGAACGCUGGCGGCGCGCCUAAUACAUGCAAGUCGAGCGAGAAGACGUAGCAAUACGUUUGUAAAGCGGCGAACGGGUGAGGAAUACAUGGGUAACCUACCCUCGAGUGGGGAAUAACUAGCCGAAAGGUUAGCUAAUACCGCGUACGCUCCUUGGACUUCGGUUCAGGGAGGAAAGCGAUACCGUGGGUAUCGCGCUCUUGGAUGGGCUCAUGUCCUAUCAGCUUGUUGGAGU
rnacentral:rRNA from 1 species